CCGUCGCCGGGCUGGAAAUGUAGGCCCGCAUGCGCUCGGGGCGCUUGGUCAGGAUCUGGAAAGUGUGGCAGGUCGCCGCCGCCAUGACGGC
rnacentral:tRNA from 1 species